UACAGAGGGGGCAAGCGUUGUUCGGAAUUACUGGGCGUAAAGGGCGCGUAGGUGGCCUUCUAAGUUGCACGUGAAAUCCCUGGGCUCAACCCAGGAACUGCGUCCAAGACUGGGAGGCUUGAAACCGGGAGAGGGAUGCGGAAUUCCAGGUGUAGCGGUGAAAUGCGUAGAUAUCUGGAGGAACACCGGUGGCGAAGGCGGCACCCUGGACCGGGAUUGACACUGAGGCGCGAAAGCGUGGGGAGCGAACAGG
rnacentral:rRNA from 1 species